rnacentral:rRNA from 1 species
GAAUAUUGCACAAUGGGCGAAAGCCUGAUGCAGCAACGCCGCGUGCGCGAUGAAGACCUUCGGGUUGUAAAGCGCUUUUCGAGGGGAUGAGAAAGGACAGUACCCUCGGAAUACGGAUCGGCUAACUACGUGCAAGCAGCCGCGGUAACACGUGGGAUCCGAGCGUUAUCCGGAUUUACUGGGCGUAAAGCGCGUGCAGGUGGUGCGGGUAGUUGGAUGUGAAAGCUCCUGGCUCAACUGGGAGAGGCCGUUCAAUACUGCCGGACUAGAGGGCGAUAGAGGGAGGUGGAAUUCCCGGUGUAGUGGUGAAAUGAGUAGAUAUCGGGAGGAACACCAGAGGCGAAAGCGGCCUCCUGGAUCGACCCUGACGCUAAGACGCGAAAGCUAGGGGAGCGAACGGG